UGUAUGUUAAUUUUAUGACAGUUGAAUAAGGUAAUUAAAAAUGUACAAUGUGUUUUUGAAAGUAUGCAAUGUGAUGAAACUAACUAAUUAUGAGCCUGUCAAAGUUAGAGAAUUAGACCAGGCAAUGCCAUUGUUGUUAUAUAAAUAUUUAAGAAAUGUUUGAGAAGCAGAAAAUCAAAGCUACUUUUGGAUGAUUGUAAUAUAAUGAUGAGACAAGCCUGCUGCUUUUUGCAGUUUCCUCCCCCCUCCUUUGUGCUUGGGUUAGUGUGUGAAGAAAAGAGUGAGAUGCUCCCCCCUUCAAAUACCUGGAGUAAAGGAGCCAGAUAGUUCUGAAUAUCUAAGAAAUGUUUAAUUAUGUGGCAAUGUGGAAUCCUAGUUAAAAUAGUUUGUUUUUGUUAUGUAACUCUUGGGUUCAUUUUAAACAAAGAAAGAAACGGUAGCCAUGAUUAUUAUAAAUAUUUAAAUGUUUAGCUCUCCAUUCUAAGCUAGUAAACAUGAAAGUGGAGAAAGGCAAGUUUAUCUAUAAGAGGAAAAGGAACAUUAAAGUGAAUUGCAUUAUGAAGAAAGUGGACAGAAUGUUGUAGAAUUAUUAAUGAGGAUUGCUGGAUGUGAGAAAAGAGAAAAGGCUGAAUGCUUUUGUAGCCCAAUAUGAUGGUCAAGGAGCUGUUUCUCAAAAAGAAACCAGGAAAUGCUAGAAUUGUGGCAGGAUUGGCCAGAAAAUGCAGAUUGCCUGACAGACGCAAGCAGAAGAAAGAGAGAUGAUGAAUGAAUAGUAAAGCAGCAUGAACUUUCUGAGCACACAGAAGUUAAUUUGUGCAUGUCUGAGACGGAUGGUGAAGAAUGUUUGUAACAUUACGCUUUCCACUUCAACUAACGUUAUGAUGGAAUAACAGAAUUGCAGUUGAGGAAUCAAAAAGCUACGAAAGCCUUUGUUUGGAUGGUGAUUUUAUGGUUGCAUUCAUUUCUGAUCCUGCUGAGAUAAAUGACAUUAUUAGGUUUAGUGGGAAGGAUGAGGAGCAAGCGUUAAUGCUCAUCUGAAAAACCAGCAACAUGAAGAAAAAGAUGGUGACGAAGGCAAAGAUGGGACUGGUGCCAGUACUUUAGAAUUAAGUUCAACUAAGAGAUGUCCAAUUUGUCUGAACAGUCUUUCUCUGAAGGUUGACUUUCCAGAAGAUUGCUGUCACGUUUUCUGUAUCCUGCAUUCUUAAAUGGUGUAAAACCUUUUCAUCCUGCCCUGUUGACUGCAACCCUUUUCAAGCCAUGUAUAAAAUAGAUUUGGCUGGUGGAUGCACCAAGAGCCAUGCUGUGGGAAGAACACAAAAAGAAAACUGCAGCUGCAACCUGUGACAGUGGUGCUGUACAAAAGAGAAGACAUGCUUUGGAAUGGAUGUUAUGAAGCAAUACCGCUUGAAUUAGGAGAAAUGGAAGUGAAAAGAUGUACUACAAUGAAGCUUGCCAGCUUUUUUCUAGAGAGAGAAGACCUCAAAGAGGAGGGUGACCAGAUCUGCUUAAAACUCAUGGAAGAAGAAAUGCAGCAAAUUUCCCCAGUUAAGGACACUACUCUUAAAAAUCCUAAUCUAUCUGAUCCUGUUUGUGGACGGUACAUGCCUGUACAAAAGAUGGAGUCCCAAGAAUGGAAUAUGCGGUGACAACAUUGGAGGAAGUGAUUGAGAUCCAACUACUCCCUUCAUCACUUUCAGCGCAGGUUGCCAAAGUGGUAGCACUCACAAGAGCUAGUGAGACUGCAAAGGAUCAAACAGCCAACAUUUACACUGAUAGCAAGCAUGCUGUCAAAGUAAUCCAUGAUUAUGGACCCAUAAGGAAGAACAGAAGACUCACAACUGCUGCAAGUGAACCAAUUCAAAACUGAAAAUAUGUUCAAGAACUUUUUGAACCAGUCACCCUCCCAAAGAAAGUAGCCACCCCCGAAGGUCAACGCACAUACUGAAGGAAGACAAAGGAAACAGUUGUCUGAUCAUACUGCCAGGAAGACUUGCGAAACACCAAUGGAAGCAAUCGUGACCCUAAUCAAUGAUUUUGCAAAGGAAUAAGAAGAAGCCCGUAACAGAUUGAAGGAAAAGAAAAGAACAAAUACUGAAAGUAAAGGAACUGAUUAAGAAAUUGCAAGAAUCUGCACCUGACGAUUGGAAUUAAAUCAUGUAAAAGGACGGAACAAAGAAGGAUCAAGAUGGACUUGUGCAAGGAAAAGGGAAUAUGUGUCCCAUCUCAAACGGAGAAGAUGAUUAUGCCACUAGCUCAUGGACUGAGUCAUGUAUGCCCUAAGGCAAUGGAGAGAGACAUAAUCAAGGCUGGAUGGUUUAUUCGAUACUCCAGAAAUGUAUAUCAAGACUUUGUUGAGGGAUGCAUUAUCUGUGCUAAAAAUAACCCAGGAAAACCAACCAGAGCAACACAAAGACAUUUGGCCAAGUCACUAUUCCUUUUCCAAAGACUUCAGAUUGAUUAAAUCUAAUUGCCCAAAUCAGGCCAAUAUCAAUAUGUUUUGUUGUGGGUAGACAUGUUUUCAAGCUGAAUAGAAGCCUGACUGGUGGCUAAAGCAAAUGCCAAGACAACAGCAAGGAAACUCCUUUCCGAAGUAAUAUGCCGCUUGAAGUCCCUGAAAUCCUAGAGAAUGACAGAGGAACACAUUUCACUGGACAGAUCAUGCAAAUUACAUGCAAGAACUUGGCAAUUGAGCAGGCCUUUCAUGCCUCUAUAAUCCUCAGAGUUCAGGAAAGAUAGAAAAAUAUAGGAAUCAUUAAAGACGGGUUAGUCAAAUUCAUGCAGGGAAAGGAAAGACAGGUCAGUAAGGAAACAAUGACCAGAACUGUUGCCUCUGGUUCUUUACAACAUCAGGAUUACCCCUACUUAUAGGUCAGAAAAUUUGAGCCCUUAUGAGAUUUUAUUUGGGGGCCCACCUAAGACAGGGUUGUAUUUUCUACAUCAGACUGCUGUAAUGUAUAAUGAUUUUGUUUUGUUAUGUAAUUGUCUAAUACAAGCAACUAACUGCGAUGCACAAGUUGUUUUUGAUUCAAUUCUAGAUCAAGAAAUUGGAACACAUGAUUUACAGCCAGAUGAUUGGGUCCUAGUACAAGAACAUGUGAAAGUACCUUUGAGACCAAAGUUUGAAGGACCCUACCAAGUGUUCCUGACAACUGCUACAGCUGUAAAGUGAUGUAGAUACAUGCCAGCCAUUGCAAGAAAGUACAGCUAAUUUCAAAAGAUGAGUAAACUACUGUUAUGCCUUUCCUUGAUCUUAGUCAAGGCUAUAGAGGAAAAUCACCAGUACAAAUUACACAUGAUAACAGGCAUAAGGAGCCAUUUGAGUAAUUGCUAGAUAUGUUCACAUAGGCCAGACAGUUGAAGAAAAAAAAAGGCACACACCUAGUACUCGUUUACUUUAAUUUUGAGUUUAAGCAAUACAAGACUGCCCAAACUAGUAUGUCAAGAAUAUCACAAAUGUUGUAUUAUUGUGAAAAUACAUUACAUAUAUUUAUGCUAAAUAUAACUUGAGGCCUUUUGGAAUACCUCCUUGUUUAGUAGGGAAAAGAGGUAUACAAUGUGACAUUAUGAUAGGAAAUAUGAAAAACUCAGAUGACACUGUUUAGAUAUGGUAAAUUCUCAUGGCUUCAACAGAUAUGUUUUUGUCCUCAUAGGAAUUAUCGUUAGAGGAUUGCUUGUUUAUUUGUUUUUUUUUUCAGGUGCGCUAAAUGUGAAAUACAAUGACAGUUAGAUCUGAGGGAGAUGACCCCCCAAGGAAGAAAUAGAGUGUUAUCAGAUUGUCAGAUUAGCCAAUUUGUAUGAUACCAAGUUGGGUGAUAUGAAUGAGUAAAGAUAUGUAUCCACAUACACCCUAAGAAGAACUUUACUCCACAUAGAUGUGAAGUAGUACUGUGGACGCCUUGGUGUCAUACUAGGUAGGGAAGAUAUGGUAGUGACCCCAACAUGGGGGCCAAGAGGAGGGAAAUUAGUAAAAUAUAGGGGUCUGAUAAUAUAGAUAUAGAUAUAUAAUAUAGACGUUCACUUUAAGGAUUGAUAAUGCACUUUUGUUUGCUUUUUCACAGAUGUUCACAGCUUCUUCUUUUUGUCCUUGGGAAUCAGACAGAAGACUGAUAAGACCAGUUGAAAAUAGACUUUCUAUUAAACCAGUUUGAACUGACCAAAGACUCAUGGAUAAGGUUUUUCUGCCAGUCACGUGAUGUAACCCCCCAUUUAACUGUUCCCAUGCUAUAAAGAAGAUAUGGACUUUGAUUGGACUAAAACUAUACGAUCACACCUUUAUCACGCCUAGAAUACAGUUGAUACAUACCCAUAUCUUAUGAAUAUUCAUACGUAUAAAUUGUUUUCCCCUGUAGUUGUAAGCUCAGAAACACUUUCACUUUUACUCGCUUAUAGUAGCCGAGAUCUGUGUUGUCUUUCUCCAUUGCAAUGUCUUAAUUAAAGCACCUUAUUAUCUUUAUCUAC